GAGAUGGAUUCUGAGACACGAAUCCAGGCCCUACGGGGUGCAGCAGGCGCGAAAACUUUACAAUGCUGGCAACAGCGAUAAGGGAACCUCGAGUGCCAGGUUACAAAUCUGGCUGUCGAGAUGCCUAAAAAGCAUUUCAUAGCAAGGGCCGGGCAAGACCGGUGCCAGCCGCCGCGGUAACACCGGCGGCUCGAGUGGUAACCGUUAUUAUUGGGUCUAAAGGGUCUGUAGCCGGCCGGAUAAGUCUCUUGAGAAAUCUGGCAGCUUAACUGUCAGGCUUUCAGGAGAUACUGUCUGGCUCGAGGCCGGGAGAGGUGAGAGGUACUUCAGGGGUAGGGGUGAAAUCUUGUAAUCCUUGAAGGACCACCAGUGGCGAAGGCGUCUCACCAGAACGGACCUGACGGCAAGGGACGAAAGCUAGGGGCACGAACCGGAUUAGAUACCCGGGUAGUCCUAGCCGUAAACGAUACUCGCUAGGUGUCGGCCACGGUGCGACCGUUGUCGGUGCCGUAGGGAAGCCGUGAAGCGAGC
rnacentral:rRNA from 1 species